AACAAACCUAGUACGAGAGGAACCGUUGAUUCACACAAUUGGUCAUCGCGGUUGGUUGAAAAGCCAGUGGCGUGAAGCUACCGUGCGCUGGAUUAUGACUGACCGCCUCUAAGUCCGAAUCCG
rnacentral:ncRNA from 1 species